rnacentral:tRNA from 1 species
GGAGGCGUGGCUGAGUGGCCGAAAGCGACUCCGUGCUAAGGAGUUAUACCCGCAAGGGUAUCGGAGGUUCGAAUCCUCCCGCCUCCG